UUGUUGGCGAAUUUCCGCCCAGGCCAGAGACCAAUCGGUGUGAGGGGUCGUCUCAGGGGGGGUGGGCCGCCCUGGGGGUUGUGAGAGUUUUGAUUCAUGGCUCGGAUUGAACGCGGGCAGGCAUGCUUAACACAUGCAGGUACUAGAGUUUGAUCAUGGCCAAGUCGUAACAAGGUAAGUCGUAACAAGGUACUAGAGUUAGCUAAUGGUAAUGUAGCAAACAGAUGGAGACAACCCGGGGAAACUCGGGCUAAUACCGCAUACCCCUGCAAAGGAAAAGAGUGCGCAAGCACUCGCUGUCGGAUGAGCCCAUGACCGAUUAGCUAGUUGGUAAGGUAAAAGCUUACCAAGGCAACGAUCGGUAGCUGGUCUGAGAGGAUGAUCAGCCACACUGGGACUGAGACACGGCCCAGACUCCUACGGGAGGCAGCAGUGGGGAAUAUUGGACAAUGGGCGCAAGCCUGAUCCAGCAAUGCCGCGUGUGUGAAGAAGGCCUGCGGGUUGUAAAGCACUUUAGGUUGGGAAGAAAGCCUAUGGAAGACAAAGCCAUAGGGAUGACGUUACCAACAGAAUAAGCACCGGCUAACUCUGUGCCAGCAGCCGCGGUAAUACAGAGGGUGCGAGCGUUAAUCGGAAUUACUGGGCGUAAAGGGUGCGUAGGCGGCUAAAUAAGUCAGAUGUGAAAGCCCUGGGCUUAACCUGGGAACUGCAUUUGAUACUAUCUAGCUAGAGUACAGUAGAGGAUAGUGGAAUUCCCCGGUGUAGCGGUGAAAUGCGUAGAUAUCGGGAGGAACAUCAGUGGCGAAGGCGACUAUCUGGACUGAUACUGACGCUGAGGUACGAAAGCGUGGGGAGCAAACAGGAUUAGAUACCCUGGUAGUCCACGCCCUAAAACGAUGAGAACUAGCUGCUGGGGAGUUCUAUACCUUGAUUAGCGAAGCACACGAUCUAAGUCUCCGUCCUGGGGACUACGGCCGCAAGGUUAAAACUCACAUGAAUUGACGGGGGCCCGCACCAGCGUGGAGCAUGUGGUUUAAUUCGAUGCCACGCGAAGAACCUUACCUGGCUCUUUGACCUCCCGCGAACCUAAGCAGACAUGACUAAGUGCCU
rnacentral:rRNA from 1 species